AUGGAUGGUUUGGUUGGGCUGUUGAAGGUGCGCGUGGUGCGUGGGAUCAACCUUGCCUACCGCGACGCAAGAGGCAGUGAUCCAUAUGUUGUCCUUCGCCUCGGCAAGCAGAAACUGAAGACCAGCGUGAAGAGGCGAUCUGUGAACCCUAUCUGGCAUGAGGAGCUAACUCUGUCAAUCACGAACCCGAAUGCACCAAUCAAGCUUGCGGUGUUUGACAAGGACACCUUCAGCAAGGACGACCCAAUGGGGAACGCGGAGAUCGAGGUGCUGCCCUUUACGGAGGUCCUGGAACUGGACACCGAGGGCAUCCGCAACGGCACCGUGGUGCGGUUGGUCGCGCCGAGCAGCGGGAACUGCCUCGCCGAGGAGAGCCGCGUGUGCUGGAAGAACGGCAAGUUCGUCCAGGACAUGAUCCUGCGCCUCAGGGACGUCGAGAGCGGGGAAAUAAUGCUGAAGCUGGAGUGGGUCAAUAUGAAGAAGUGA
rnacentral:rRNA from 1 species